GACAGAGGGUGCAAACGUUGUUCGGAUUUACUGGGCGUAAAGCGUGUGUAGGCGGCUUGGCAAGUUGGAUGUGAAAGCCCACGGCUCAACCGUGGAAGCGCACCCAAAACUGCUUCGCUCGAGUCUCGGAGAGGAAGGUGGAAUGCUUGGUGUAGAGGUGAAAUGCGUAGAUAUCGGGAGGAACACCUGAGGCGAAGGCGGGCUACUGGGCCGAUACUGACGCUGAUGCGCGAAAGCCAGGGGGGCAAACGGG
rnacentral:rRNA from 1 species